GUCCCUUCGGGGACUUCCGAUAAAAUUGGAACGAUACAGAGAAGAUUAGCAUGGCCCCUGUUCAUGAACCCUAUCCAAGCGAGUACAUGUAAAAGUCAUUU